rnacentral:rRNA from 1 species
AUGUCGUCCAUGGUCUCUCCCCUCCACGGAGUAGUGGACGCCCGCCGGUGGAACGCCGAGCGCCUCCUGGGUCGUCUAGUGAUCGUGGUUCACGCCGCCUUCCUUGACGCGGGCUUCAUCGUGCCUCGCCGCCACCGCCGGGAUUGGGAUCUGUCUUCUACCUGCCGGCUUCCGACAGAGGCGGGCGCGACGGCCUCGACCCUCACCCUGGAGUACACCGUGCCGCAGCUGCUGCCCCGGCACGACAUGGACGGCGCCGCGCUGAGGGUGUGCACCAACGGGCGGCACGUCAUCUUCUACCUGCAGAUCUCCUCUGUCCGGAUCAGCCCGCACUUGGUGUGCCUGGACGCAUACUCCGUCGCGCCGCUCCUGUCGGGCCAUCUGAACGGCACAGCGCGCAGGCUGCUGCGGAACCACGCCUCCCCGACGGCCGCGCUCUGGAGGACGGUCAGCGACGGGUUCAGCCGGCGCAUCUUCUCGGAUCUAUGCCUUGUGCACGGCGUGGUGCCGGGACGAGCCCCCACCUUCAUGUCCCUCCCGAGCGACAUGAUGGCGGCGAUCCUGGAGAGGCUCGCCGACGGGAAGGACCUGUUGAGGGUGAAGAGCACCUGCACCGAGCUGAGGAGCUUGGUGGCCGAGCCCGACCGGGACCGCCAGCUCUGGAUGCCCAGGUACAAGGCGCUACGGUUGAACUGGCUGUGGUGGUGGUGCUGGUCGCUCGGCGGCGACAGCGAUUCCCACGACGACCUGCCGGAGACGAGCUGGAAGCAGAUGUUUGUGAGGGCCACGCGACGGUGGGAAGAUAGGCUUCUCGAUCGUCCUACUCCUGUCCUCGUCAUACGGCGGUUUUCUAUCCUCGAUGAGUUGAAAUGGUUUUUUCGAUCCGCAAGAUACUCAUUUGAGGAGCUGCCGGUGGAUGCCGCCGCCUGCUUUGGAGAGAUGAUGACUGAGACGGAGGGCGACGGGGGCAAGAGUACCACCGGUCGCCGCCAUGGCCAUGGUAAGGCGCCGGCCAUAGGCGGCCACGAGAAGCAGAGGCAGCAGGGUCGUCGCACCCGCACCGGCGCUAUCCACUCCCCGUCUUCUAGGUACCGAUGGAAGCACAGGUGA